AUCUCUUCCAUAUCUUCUCAUUCAUACCCAGGGAUCUAAACUUCAUAGAGCACACUAGUAAUAUGGGUUGGAAACUUUGUAGAAAUGUAACGAUGAUUGCAGGUAUCAGAGAGCAAAGCCUAUAAUCAUAGAUCCAGGGUUGUAUCAUUCUAAAAAAUCUGGUCUCUUUUAUGCUAAAGAGAAAAGAUCAGUCCCAAAUUCAUUCAAGUUAUUCACAGGUAUUUAUUCUUUUUGAUGCAUAAUUUUGUCAUUGUGCCUUGGAACUGAUAGUAGAUUAAUAUGUCUACAAGACAACAGAGGCUUUCGUGAUUAAUAAUCAUAUUAGAUGCAUGGUGUUAAAUCACCUUAUUUAGUGCAGUUGGAUGUGUUCU
rnacentral:lncRNA from 1 species